CUCCAGUGACGACCUCAGUUCACUGCCACGUGUCUGGACCACAGAUCCAAGUGAUAGGACUGAGGAAAUGGGGAG